rnacentral:rRNA from 1 species
AGAGUUUGAUCCUGGCUCAGAUUGAACGCUGGCGGCAUGCCUUACACAUGCAAGUCGAACGGUAACAGCUCUUCGGAGGCUGACGAGUGGCGAACGGGUGAGUAAUACAUCGGAACGUGCCCGAUCGUGGGGGAUAACGGAGCGAAAGCUUUGCUAAUACCGCAUACGAUCUACGGAUGAAAGCAGGGGACCCUCGGGCCUUGCGCGAACGGAGCGGCCGAUGGCAGAUUAGGUAGUUGGUGGGAUAAAAGCUUACCAAGCCGACGAUCUGUAGCUGGUCUGAGAGGACGACCAGCCACACUGGGACUGAGAUACGGCCCAGACUCCUACGGGAGGCAGCAGUCGAGAGGCUUCGGCAAUGGGGGAAACCCUGACCGAGCGACGCCGCGUGAGGGAUGAAGCUCUUCGGGGUGUAAACCUCUUUUCUGGGGGAAGAAACCUAUGGGGUCGAAUAGGCCUCAUGGCUGACGGUACCCCAGGAAUAAGCUCCGGCUAACUCCGUGCCAGCAGCCGCGGUAAUACGGGGGGAGCAAACGUUGUUCGGAAUCACUGGGCGUAAAGGGCGCGUAGGCGGCCCGGUAAGUGGUGUGUGAAAUGCCCUGGCUCAACCAGGGAACUGCGCUCCAAACUGCCGGGCUUGAGGUCAGUAGAGGAAGCUGGAAUUCCAGGUGUAGCGGUGAAAUGCGUAGAUAUCUGGAGGAACACCGUUGGCGAAGGCGAGCUUCUGGGCUGUACCUGACGCUGAGGCGCGAAAGCUGGGGGAGCAAACAGGAUUAGAUACCCUGGUAGUCC